GCUAAUGUUUACUGUCGCCCUUCACGCAGAUGGACAGCUAGCUCUGCGUUAGCUACCAGCUAGCUAAUGUUACUGUCCCUUCACCAGACGGGCAGCUAGCUCUGCUGCUUAGCUACCAGCUAGCUAGCGUCCCUCUACUUCCACCUAUGCACCAUCUCUUCUCUUGUCCUUGGACCAGAUCACAUGAUCCAGGAAUCUGAGUAGCAUUCCCAGUUCCACUGUUGGUAGCUGAGGACAAAAGCGAAAGCACUGCACUCUGGGAAAUGUAUUCUCUGAGGCCUUGUUGUAGCAUGGGGUGUCUGAGGACCUGAAUGGAGAGGUGUCCAGAGCUUCUGCCUGAUGAAAGGCGC
rnacentral:lncRNA from 1 species